rnacentral:lncRNA from 1 species
AACGAAAACUUUGACUCAAGCACAGGCGGAUAUGAUCACUUUUUAUAGUUAUAUGUAAACGUUUGUAAACCAUAUAUAAGGGCGCUACAGUUACUUACUUAUCAUUAUUUCAAAGGACGCAUCAGUGAUUCUUUAUUUGUUACAAAUAAACUCACUUACGGGAAACAGUUAAAGACAUUGGAAAAACAAGGAUGAAGAUCAGCAUUUUGAUUUCGUUUGUCAUUUUAUCCGCCAUGUUGAUGACGUCUGAAGGGCAAGGAAAAUCAGCUGCAUUAGUCAAAUGCAGGAAGGAGUGUAUGGAAGCAUUCAACGUGUGCGCCGGACCCUGUAAAAGAGGACAUUUACACAUGCCUAACGUUUGCAAUGGAAAACUGUGCGGAAAUUUACUUCAGGACUGCUAUGUUACUAUUUGUAAUUUCAAUGAACAAUAAACUUAGCUUAAAUCAAAACAUUUUGAUGUCUCAUAAAUUUGAAACUUAAACAUGUCUGUUUCUGUUGUAAAUACAUCUAGUAAGAGAUCCGUUUCAAGAUGACUGCAUCAAAUUCACUUGUUUUAAAGAUUAGAAGAAAUGGAAAAUCAUGUAUAUGGUAUUGAAAGAAGUGACAGAGCAACUUCGCUUUUACUUUAAUUCUUAACUUCUUUUCGUGAAGAUGAUGCUAUAUGCACCUUGGAUAUAUCAAAAUUAGUUAAACAAUUACAUUUUACUUACACUCUUUA